rnacentral:tRNA from 1 species
GACGGGGUGCCCGAGUGGUUAGGGGGCCGCCUGCAAAGCGGUCUACGUCGGUUCGAAUCCGGCACCCGUCUC